rnacentral:rRNA from 1 species
UACAGAGGUCUCAAGCGUUGUUCGGAUUCAUUGGGCGUAAAGGGUGCGUAGGCGGCGGGGCAAGUCUGAUGUGAAAUCCCGGGGCUCAACCCCGGAACUGCAUUGGAUACUGCCUUGCUAGAGUACUGGAGAGGAGACUGGAAUUUACGGUGUAGCAGUGAAAUGCGUAGAUAUCGUAAGGAAGGCCAGUGGCGAAGGCGAGUCUCUGGACAGUUACUGACGCUGAGGCACGAAGGCCAGGGGAGCAAACGGG